UACAGAGGUCUCAACCGUUGUUCGGAUUCAUUGGGCGUAAAGGGUGCGUAGGCGGUCGCGCAAGUCGGAUGUGAAAUCUUGGGGCUCAACCCUGAAACUGCAUUCGAUACUGCGUGGCUAGAGUACUGGAGAGGAGACUGGAAUUUACGGUGUAGCAGUGAAAUGCGUAGAUAUCGGGAGGAACACCAGUGGCGAAGGCGACUACCUGGCCUGUUCUUGACGCUGAGGCGCGAAAGCUAGGGGAGCAAACGGG
rnacentral:rRNA from 1 species